rnacentral:rRNA from 1 species
AGAGUUUGAUCCUGGCUCAGAGUGAACGCUGGCGGCGUGGAUUAGGCAUGCAAGUCGAGCGAUCCAGCACUAAUUUUUUGGUGGUAGUAAUAUCGCUGGAAAAUUAGGGCUGGAUAGCGGCAAACGGGUGCGUAACGCGUGAGUAACUUACCUCUAUACCGAGGAUAGCCUCGCGAAAGCGAGAGUAAUACUUAAUGUGUCCAAUUUUUCGAUGAAGAGUUGGGUAAAGACUUCUGCAAGGAAGGUGUAUAGAGAUGGGCUCGCGUCCUAUCAGCUAGUUGGUAGGGUAAUGGCCUACCAAGGCGAUUGACGGGUAGCUGGCCUGAGAGGGUGGUCAGCCACACGGGGAUUGAGAUACUGCCCCGACUCCUACGGGAGGCUGCAGUCGAGCAUCUUUAGCAAUGGGCGAAAGCCUGACUAUGCGACGCCGCGUGAGGGAUGAAGAUCUUCGGAUCGUAAACCUCUUUCGAUCGGGAAGAAGCCCAGCCCAUUUAUAAUGGGCUGGGUUGACGGUACCGAUAUAAGAAGCCACGGCUAACUCCGUGCCAGCAGCCGCGGUAAUACGGAGGUGGCGAGCGUUACUCGGAAUUACUGGGUGUAAAGGGCAGGUAGGUGUCCUAACAAGUUUUAGGUGAAAUCCUUUCGCUUAACGAAAGAACUGCCUAAAAAACUGUUAGGAUUGAGGCUAGAAGAGGAGAACGGAAUUCCCGGUGUAAGGGUGAAAUCUGUAGAUAUCGGGAGGAACACCAGUGGCGAAGGCGGUUCUCUGGUCUAGUCCUGACACUGAGCUGCGAAAGCUAGGGGAGCAAACAGGAUUAGAUACCCUGGUAGUCC